UACGUAGGGGGCUAGCGUUGUCCGGAUUUAUUGGGCGUAAAGAGCGUGUAGGCGGCUAGGUAGGUCCGUUGUGAAAACUCGAGGCUCAACCUCGAGACGCCGAUGGAAACCAUCUAGCUAGAGUCCGGAAGAGGAGAGUGGAAUUCCUGGUGUAGCGGUGGAAUGCGCAGAUAUCAGGAGGAACACCAAUGGCGAAGGCAGCUCGCUGGGACGGUACUGACGCUGCGGUGCGAAAGCGUGGGGAGCGAACAGG
rnacentral:rRNA from 1 species